CAUAGACAGGGAAGCCUGGCGGGGUACAGACCAUGGGGCCACAAAGAGUUGAAUAUGACUGAGCUACUAACACAGCCAAACACAGCAUAAUCUCUAGGACCAUCAGUGUUGCUGCAAAUGGCAUUGUUUCAUUCUUUUUAAUGGCACCAGCCCCUCUUGAGACUCUAUUAAAUUUAUAUCCCACACCUGAUGCUGAACAUGGGCAUGAAGAUGGGUGGGCUAUAAAAAAAAAAGGUGAUGACAGAUACAAGGCAUAGCCACUUAUCCCUCAAAAGCCUGUACUAUAGUUAGAAAGAUAUGAAGGUGCCUGUGCAUGUACUCUUUUAUCUAUAUAUGGAGUGCAUAGAAAGAGAUGAUGAUAUCCAUGUCUAUCAUGUGAAUACAUACACACACACAAAAUAAUGCAGUCACAUAUACAAAAUGAAGCAGUACAGUUAGAGAUGACUAGAGCUGGUUAGGGACAGUCAGAAUAGGGGUCCAGAAGAAUGGAGUUUGAGUUGGAAUCUAGAUCCUGAGGUGCCAGCCUUUGACCUGUCCAGGUUGUUGACUUGUUCUCCUUCCAUGUUUAGAAAUAGAUCUUUUCAAAAAGAGAAUGAAAUAUUUGCGUUCUUUUGACUUGUCUCUUUUGUUUCUUUUAUGUCCAGUGCCAGGCAUGGUAUUCUGAAGGUCCUCAAGAAAUGUUUAUUAAUUGAAUCAGUAAAGAAAUAUCUGGUAUUUGUGCCAUUUUAUUAAGUAAGAGAAUACAUAUGAUUACAGCACUCUCUUCAGCACUGGGCUCUGAGAGUUCUUCCAAGGGUGUUUCAAAAACCACUGUAUGCAAAAGAGGAGCCACAGUGAGUGAGGGAGAAGAAGCAGAUAAUACAAGAGCCCUCAGCCAACAAGACUAGACUUAAUUGUCCCUCAAUUCUCUAACCAAUUGCCCUAAAAGAGACUUCUCUGAUUUUCUUCUUCUGUUUGGAUCAAGACAUCUGGAUAGGACAGAAAAAUCUUUGAAGAGCCCACCUCAAUUGCAUGAAAGACUUGGCAAUGGGAAACUUUUCCCAUCUAUGGCCAUGUUUAAUCCCUUUGGAUUGUGAGAGAAAUGGUGUCAGUGGAUGGAGGGCCACCACCAACACUAUAGCCAGAUCCUUCUCCAGUGAGCCACUGCUGAAGACUGAUUUUAAAAAGAAAAAUAAGGAAGAAAGAAAAAAUUUUAUUAGGAUAGAUGAUAAAUGCCUCAUCUGAAACAUAUGCACGCUCAUUCACAGAAAACACAAUUGUUUUCUUGCUGCUUCCAUGGCCUCCUUGGUGGAGCUGUCAUUUUGCAGAUGUCAAUGGCCUGAAGAGUCCCAGUGUGUGUGUGUAUGUGUGACAAAUUCCUGUCCUGCAGCAGAAUAUAAGUAGAGCAUGCCCUAAUAGAAUCAGAGGCAUUGCACACUGAGGUUGGGAUUAGUCUUCCCAGUUGAAAUUUUUCAGAAUAUAUUUCUUCAGCAAUAAGGUAUUUUCUGAAAUUUUCACCAAUAGAAAUAAAUAAAUUACAUAAACGGGGUCCAAAAUGCUUAUUACUUUUUAUGUGAUUUCUUUUCUUUCUAUUCUCUUAGCACAUAGCAGGCAGCAUUUAUACUCCUAAAAUUUAUGUGAGAAUGAAAGGAAAACAGAAAAUUUUCUUCUAGCUCCUCUAAAAGAAGAUUUUGAAGGUCAUAUAGGGAAGCACAGAGAAGAUUUUAUCAGAAUGACUGGUGCAUGGAAUAGUGAUGUGGUGGUAAAAUCAAGAGCGUACUGUUUUAAUUUUGUUUUUCCAGGUUCAGCUCUGAGACCUCAAAGUAUUUACUUCUCACAAUGAAUUGUUCUUUGAAAGCAUGGAUACAGGACUAAUUCUUAGAUCUCCAAAUAUUUUUUGAAGACAAGUGAGGAUGCUAGCUGGAGGAGGGUCUGCAGGCUGAGAGAAACAGGGUUGAGUGGAAUUCCUUCUUGAAUGGUCAUUACAAAAACUAUAAAAGAAGCCUCCACAGAGAGUGGGAAUUUCUGAAGAUCUUUGGUUUCAGAGAUACCGUGUUACUUUGCUUAGUUUUGACUGAGACUCUGAAAAUUCUCAGUCUCACACAAAAAUAUCCUUGUGUCAUUGGCUAUCUUGAUUCUACUUUAAGCCUUUUUCAGCUCUACAUGGAGAGCAACAAAAGCUGUAAAGCAAUUAAACUUAGUUGUAAUUUCUACAUCAAGGUCAAUCUUGGCCCAUUUUUGCAGUCAAACUUGCUGCUUCCUGGAUGUUCUUAUCUAUUUGUGAAAACUCACCUUGGUUUCCAUUACUUCAUCAUGCUUGAUCUCUAGUAAAAUGUUACUUUCCCCUACACUUCCCAUUUGGUUAUUUCUGGGCUCUUCCUAAGAGUGAACUCUUCCACAAUUCUUAUUUACCAGAUGAAAGGAUCCUGAAAUUGAGACCCAUGAAUUAGUAAGAUUCUUGAAGGUAUUUUCUCAUAUAGAUUUUUUUUUACAUAAGUCAUUUAAAAAUUAGUUAAUGAAAAGCCUUUUGGUAAUUAAUAAAAUAUAUAUAUAAUCCCUGUGUAGGUUUGGAUAAUUACAAGUAAAACAUCUAAUAGUUAUUUGGUACUAUGCAGUUUAUAGACUAUCUUAAUGUUCAUAAUUUAUUUGAUUUCAUAGAACAAUAGUUCUAUGAAUUUAAAGGAAUGGAUAUUAAUAUACCCAUUUUACACAUGAAAUUAAGGGCAAGGAGGGUGGAUAACAUAGCUAGUAGGAACUUGAAUCCCCAUAUGCUGACUUAAGUUUGUGG